AUGCCUGUAAAAAGCAUAGGAGGAACCUGGAGAAGAACGUUAGAGCUGAUGGUCUGGACAGGACGCAAUGCUUUUGUUGUGGUUUCUAUGGCUAAGGCAUCACUGCUAGGAUUCCUGGCCUGGGUGUUGCCUACGCAGCUGGCUGGCACAUGUCUCCGGUGUUGGCGAGAUGCCGCGGUGUACUUUGGCUACGAUGUGGAUCUGCUACUUGGUCAAGACUCAGAAGCCACAGACAAAUUGGGGAAGCUUUUCCUGGGCAGAGCCGGGGACCGUGUCUCCAACAGCAGACAAUUUUUGGAACGAGAACACAUGGAACGGGAAGCUGGGAAUCUUUUUCUUCGCCUCGAAAAGAUUAUUCAGAAUAGUGGGAAAGAUCAAGAACGUCUUCUGAAAGAAGCAGAGCAGGAAAAGCUAAAUUUUGUCAAGAAAUUGGAAGAGGCCUCUCAUGCCUUUCUGAAGGAAAUUUGCAGUUUUUCCUGUGGUGAGUCCAUGUGUCUAAACCAGAGGUGCAUCUGUUGGACCAUCUGUUGUCUUGUAUACGCCCGUCUGCAUUUAAACAUCUAA
rnacentral:lncRNA from 1 species